rnacentral:rRNA from 1 species
CCACUAUUUAUCUUUACCUCCCUCUUUAUUAAACCAUUUGAAUUUUCCCUAUGUGCUUCUCUAAUAAUUCCUCUAACCCGUAAGGUCCUACAAAUCUUACCCUAUAUUAUAGUUUAUACCUAGUACCUUUAGCAUCAUGGCUCUGCAAGCCUUCAAGUUCUCCCUCACCCCGAACCUACUACGAGCUAGAUUUACUUUGUUUUGAACCCAGAUCAUACUGUUUCACUAGUUAUAUUUAAAAUUUUAUCUAGAGGCUACAUACCCGUCGCGUGUAGAAAUAGCUGGUUGCUACUUUAAAUUAUCUAAGUAAUAAGACUUAUUAUCUUUAUAAUUUCUUUACCUUUUCUAGGAUAAGCUAGAAAGCUCCCUUUAUACUUUAAUAAACCUCUCUCAUUAAUAAGCUUUAAAUCAGCUACUUACUAUCCAAUGCGUCCAAGCUUUCCCUACUCUCUUUUAAAAAUUAUACCUUCAUAUAUUACUCUUGCGUAGCUCAUUUGCUCAACUUUACCCAAUUUAAAUACUGCAUAGAUUAGUAUCCCAAUAAACUUCUCCUUAAAUUUAAUAAACUUACCCUCAUAAAUUUAACCUCUUUAUCUAUAAUUAAUAAACUCGGCAAAUAAAGAAUUCGCCUGUUUACCAAAAACAUUGCUUUUAGCCCACUUAUUAAAAGUAAAUCCUGCCCAGUGAAAUUUAAACGGCCGCGGUAUCCUAACCGUGCAAAGGUAGCAUAAUCAUUUGCCUCUUAAUUAGAGGCUAGUAUGAAUGGAUAAACGAAAUUCUUUCUGUAUCAAUUUUACUUUUAUAACUUAUACUUCAGGUGAAGAUCCCUGAAUUCUAUUGAAAGACAAGAAGACCCUAUAGAGUUUAAGUGCUACAUCCCUCUCGUGGAAUUAAUACUUUAGUUGGGGCGACUAGGGAUUCCCUAAACCAUCCCUCCUCCCUACGAACUAUAAUUCCUAUAUAUGACCCUAACCAUUAGAUUUAAAAACAAAACUACCUUAGGGAUAACAGGCUUAUCUUCCUAGCAAGUCCAUAUUAACAGGAAGGUGUGGCACCUCGAUGUUGGCUUAGAGUAACCCCUUAAUGCAGCAGUUAAAGCGUGUUAGUUUGUUCAACUAUUAAUUCUCUACAUGAGCUGAGUUCAGACCGGCGUAAGCCAGGUUAGAUUCUAUCUUCAAUUUACCUUACAUUUUUUAGUACGAAAGGACCGGAAAUGAUAAUUUUAUUAAGCAUUAUUUGAUAUUAGUCUAAAUUAUAAUUUAUUUCUACAUUUAUAAAAUCAAUAUUUAAACCAU